UGACGGCUACCCCAUCAGGGAGCUGAUCAACACCGACGCCAGGAAGCACCUGCAUACCGCACGGAUUCGGAAGCGAACCGGGACGGAAGG
rfam:Geobacteraceae bacterium GWC2_53_11 gwc2_scaffold_420, whole genome shotgun sequence.